rnacentral:pre_miRNA from 1 species
GGCCAUGCUGUCGAACAUAUUACUCUCUCCAUCCUAAAUUAUAAGACAUUAUAAGAAUCCUAGAUAGUCAAAGUAUGACAAAUUUGACCAAAUUUAUAUAAUAAAAUAAUAACAUUUAUGAUACUAACUAAACAUCAUUAGAUUCUUCUUUAAUUAUAUUUUAUAGUAUAUCUACUUGAUCUCAUAAGUUUUUAUAUUUUUCUAUAAUUUUGGUUAAACUUGAGAUAAUUUGAUUCUCUAAGUUUUUUGAAAUGCCUUAUAAUUUGGGAUGGAGAGAGCUUUUUUUAUUGUUAAAGUAGUGCC